AUUGAACGCUGGCGGCAUGUUACACAUGCAAGUCGGACGGCAGCACAGAGAAGCUUGCUUCUUGGGUGGCGAGUGGCGAACGGGUGAGUAACAUAUCGGAACGUACCGAGCAGUGGGGGAUAACUAAUCGAAAGAUUAGCUAAUACCGCAUAUUUUCUGAGGAAGAAAGCAGGGGACCAUCUGGCCUUGCGCUGUUUGAGCGGCCGAUAUCUGAUUAGCUAGUUGGUGGGGUAAAGGCCUACCAAGGCGACGAUCAGUAGCGGGUCUGAGAGGAUGAUCCGCCACACUGGGACUGAGACACGGCCCAGACUCCUACGGGAGGCAGCAGUGGGGAAUUUUGGACAAUGGGCGCAAGCCUGAUCCAGCCAUGCCGCGUGUCUGAAGAAGGCCUUCGGGUUGUAAAGGACUUUUGUCAGGGAAGAAAAGGGCGGGGUUAAUACCCCUGUCUGAUGACGGUACCUGAAGAAUAAGCACCGGCUAACUACGUGCCAGCAGCCGCGGUAAUACGUAGGGUGCGAGCGUUAAUCAGAAUUACUGGGCGUAAAGCGGGCGCAGACGGUUACUUAAGCAGGAUGUGAAAUCCCCGGGCUCAACCUGGGAACUGCGUUCUGAACUGGGUGACUAGAGUGUAUCAGAGGGAGGUAGUAUUCCACGUGUAGCAGUGAAAUGCGUAGAGAUGUGGAGGAAUACCGAUGGCGAAGGCAGCCUCCUGGGAUAACACUGACGUUCAUGCCCGAAAGCGUGGGUAGCAAACAGGAUUAGAUACCCUGGUAGUCCACGCCCUAAACGAUGUCGAUUAGCUGUUGGGCAGCAUGACUGCUUAGUAGCGAAGCUAACGC
rnacentral:rRNA from 1 species